UUGGAAGAUGAUGAUACCACCACAGUUCACACCAUGUUGCUAAAAACAUUUUUCGUUUGACCAUUUAUACAUUUGGUUCUAAAGAGUUAUCUUAAGAUUCUUGCCUCAUUACUAUUCUUAAAAUUGCUCUAAAACUUGCUUAAACAAUCAGAUUUAAAUUAUGUAAAUACAGACAACAAAACUCUUAAUUGUAAAGGUGCUUUUAAAAUUCAUGCAUUUAUACAUGGCAUGCAAAUUGGCUACAAAUUGGGAAGAUUUUAUUCUAAGUAACCAAAUCUUAAAGAGCUAAAGCAAACCUGCUUUAUAAAAUACAUUAAUUCAAGGACUAAGCAAUUCCUGAAAACAGACUGAUUUACUGUGCUUCUUAAUAUUUCCUCAAACUAGAAUAUGAGUGAUGGUGGUAGAAGGAGGAAGUAGCUCAUACUUGGAGGAACAAACAGCUGCUGGAAUAUGCUUGUGGUUUAGAGCUUCUUUGAAAAAUCCUGUUAACUGCAAAAGAAAGGAAGGACUAAUAUUUUCCAUGAUUUCAGUAACAUCUUUAUGAAGAUACUCCUUUUGAAUGUGGUACAGAAAGUUAGAAAACACUUAGGCAUGGUAUCUGGCAUAGUGCCCCCAAGGGAGCAUUUCAU
rnacentral:lncRNA from 1 species